UACGUAGGGUGCAAGCGUUGUCCGGAAUUACUGGGCGUAAAGAGCUCGUAGGCGGUUUGUCGCGUCGUCUGUGAAAACUCGAGGCUCAACCUCGAGCUUGCAGGCGAUACGGGCAGACUUGAGUACUGCAGGGGAGACUGGAAUUCCUGGUGUAGCGGUGAAAUGCGUAGAUAUCUGGAGGAACACCGGUGGCGAAGGCGGCGUUCUGGACUGCAACUGACACUGAGGAACGAAAGCCAGGGGAGCAAACGGG
rnacentral:rRNA from 1 species